rnacentral:rRNA from 1 species
GACGAACGCUGGCGGCGUGCCUAAUACAUGCAAGUAGAACGCUGAAGGAGGAGCUUGCUUCUCUGGAUGAGUUGCGAAUGGGUGAGUAACGCGUAGGUAACCUGCCUGGUAGCGGGGGAUAACUAUUGGAAACGAUAGCUAAUACCGCAUAACAGUAGAUAUCGCAUGAUAUCUACUUGAAAGGUGCAAUUGCAUCACUACCAGAUGGACCUGCGUUGUAUUAGCUAGUUGGUGAGGUAACGGCUCACCAAGGCGACGAUACAUAGCCGACCUGAGAGGGUGAUCGGCCACACUGGGACUGAGACACGGCCCAGACUCCUACGGGAGGCAGCAGUAGGGAAUCUUCGGCAAUGGACGGAAGUCUGACCGAGCAACGCCGCGUGAGUGAAGAAGGUUUUCGGAUCGUAAAGCUCUGUUGUAAGAGAAGAACGAGUGUGAGAGUGGAAAGUUCACACUGUGACGGUAUCUUACCAGAAAGGGACGGCUAACUACGUG